rnacentral:rRNA from 1 species
UACAGAGGGGGCAAGCGUUGUUCGGAAUUACUGGGCGUAAAGGGCGCGUAGGCGGCCUGCUAAGUCGAACGUGAAAUCCCCGGGCUCAACCCGGGAACUGCGUCCGAUACUGGCAGGCUUGAAUCCGGGAGAGGGAUGUGGAAUUCCAGGUGUAGCGGUGAAAUGCGUAGAUAUCUGGAGGAACACCGGUGGCGAAGGCGGCAUCCUGGACCAACACUGACGCUGAGGAGCGAAAGCCAGGGGAGCAAAAGGG